rnacentral:lncRNA from 10 species
UCUGCCCUGGAAGCAGAUCGGCGGCCGCGGGGAGGUUCGGGGCGGCGCAGCCCCGCGCGGUUGUGGGAUCGCUCCCGGGGGCCGCUCCUCUCUCGGGCACUGGGGUCGCGGGAGACGUCGUCGGGAGCUCGGUUUCUGGAGGCCCUUCCCCACCCGGCCUCUGCCUCCUCCACUCCCCCGGGCUGGACGGAACGGGGCCCAGCGCGGGAUGCGAGAGGUAUGAUUUCGCUCUGUCGCCCAGGCUGGAGGGCAGUGGCGCAAUCUCGGCUCACUGCAGCCUCGAACUCCUAGGCUGAAGCGAUUCUCCCGCCUCAGCCUCCAAAGUAGCCGGUACUACAGGCGCGCGCCACCACGCCUGGCUAAGGUGUGUGUGUGUGUGUGUGUGUGUGUGUCUCCAAAGUAGCGAGGACUACGGGUGUGUGUGUGUGUGUGUGUCUCCAAAGUAGCGAGGACUACAGGCUCCCGCCACUACGCCAGGCUAAGGUAGGGUGUGUAUGUGUGUUAACUUUUUGUAGAGAUGGGAUCUCCCUUUGUAACACGGGCGCCCGCCACUAAGCCAGGCUAAGGUGGUGAAUGUGUGUGUGUGUGUGUGUUAACUUUUUGUAGAGAUGGGAUCUCGCUUCGUAACCCGGGCUGGUAUCGAACUCCUGUCUUCAAGGAAUCCUCCCGUCUGGACUCCUCCCAUGGGAUUACGGGCAUGAGCCACGGCACCUGGCUAUUUUUUUUUUCUAAGCAUUUAAAUAAGCUGGGGCUUGAUUUGGGAGUUUUCUAUUGUAUUUUGAGCUUUGCCGAGGACUUGAUAGUGACCUUGCUUUAAGCUGUGAAAUAAAUCUUGGGGUCCCAGAGCUAUUUUAAUAUUGAAUUCGCUGUGGAGUUGUUUUGAGUUCCUUGGAGGUUAACAUGAGAUAGAAAACUAAGUUAACACAACUCAUCGACUGCCCUUGCUUUGCUUUGCUUUGCUUUUAGAAUGCCAUCGGGUUUUGUCAUGUUGGGAACAAGUUAACUUAGGCCAGUUGACUAAGAUCAAGGUAUGUGAACAUGCCUGGCUGGGAGAGAAGUAGAGUAAAUGUUGGUUCGCAUUCCCUCCCGACGCCCACAAUGCCAGCCAUCCCUGACUUUUCUUGCCUUUAUUGGGAAGAAUAUAAGGUGGCAGAAACAAACUUCCCACCCUUUUUCCAAAUAUUUACUGAAGGAGUCUUGAGGAGAGUCUUGUGGGGUGGGGGGGUGGGGGUGGGAGCUGGGAAUGUUUUUGAACUAGUUCUUGAAAAAAAAACUAGUACAAUAGUACAACUGUCUUAAUUUUAUAUAUGAGGAAACUGAGGCCCAGAGAUGAAAUCAUGCCUUGAUUUAUGCAGACCUCAGUACCUGUUCGUGACAAAUCCAGUUACUAAAAGGUAAGAGAAGGAAUAAGGGACUUGAUAUUUAUCUAGCAUCAGCAAUGUGUGGACAUCGUGUGAACGGCUUUAUAAACAUUUCAUUUAAUUCUCUACAUCUAGCCAUUUUUUAACCUGUGCUUUCCCUCCCUCUCAAAGUACUGUUUAUACAUUUAUUAGUCCAUAUUUUAAACGCUCCAUGCUCUCAACUGUAUUAAUGCUAUUUGUUAGGAUAAGUGGCAGAUGUCCAUGGAAAAUAAGUGGCUGCAAAGUGGUAAUGCUGACCAGAUGAGAAAAGAAGUGUAAAAGGGAAGUUCUAAAGAAUUAAAGCCCUGGAGAGGGUGGGUAGACAACAACAGUCCAAAAUAGUGCUCUUCAUUGAGGCUGUGUAGAUUUUCCUGCUUCCUGGGAAAACUGGGGCAUAUUUACACUUGCAUGUGUGUAUUCAGAUUGUCUGGGGCUAUGGAGUUUGGGUCAGAUUGCUGAACCCGUGGGAGAGAAGUUCCCUUGUUGUCUGUUGUUGUCUGUUCUGAUUGCUGCUUUGUAAUUUGGGCCACAUAUGAAAGUCAGCAUCCAGUCAUUGGACCAUAGGUGUGUGGCAUAUCUACUCAGAUGCAUUAAGCUAUUUUUAUUUCAUUAUAAAAUGUAUAACAUUUACAUUCAAAUUAUGGUUUGAAGGGCUUAAGAGGAGAAAGAGACAGUGGCACUAAGGUGACAGCAUGGCUGGCUGCAUGCUUCCUGUCCAAGAAGGUCACUGGGCAGUGUUAACUGGGAAGAGCAUCUGGAGGAUGAGAGAUCAGUGUAGCCACAUACCCUUAACAAAGGGUGGUACAGCCUCUGGUCUGCCAGGAUUUUUGUGCCCCGCCCCCCUCCCCCUCUUUCCCUAUCUCCUCUUUGACAUUUCCACCAUAUUCCCCUUAGGUAUGUACCUGUUUGGACUUUAAUUUAGAGUGUAACUUUUGGUCAAGAAUCCUGGAGAGAAAAGACGGGUACUAAAGCCUCGCUAGUGAUUUACCUGGGUGCCGACCCCCACAACUCAUCCACCCUACAUGCAUACUUCAAACUCCUCCAGGCAGAUACUCCCUGCCUGACACACAGUGACACUUUGGGAAAAAUUGCAGAACAGUAACCAACUCUGAGCAGAUAAAUGUGAUGUCAAAAUGAUAGUAAUGAGAGAUGUCGUUCGUUGAAAGCCUGCUAGCUGCCAUGCACUAUACUAUUUCUUACAUCUAAAUCUGAUUAAGUUAUACCCCAUUUUAUAAAUAGACACUUUGAUAAGUAAACCUAUCUAAGAUCAAAAUACUGAGAAAUGUCCUAAUUGGGGAUUUGAACCUGGUUCUAAUUCCAAAGUCCAAGCUACAUCCACCCCAACCUCCUACCUCCUAUCUCCAAGACUUUGUGAGUAAAAAAACAAGUGUCACUUCUCUCCUUCUCUUUUUUCUGUCCUAAAGGAAGCUGGGAGCUAACCACUUAGGACUAGUACUAAUCUUUCAGAGAAAGGGAUGAGGGGAGCCUUGUUAUUUCUGUGGGGUUCAGCUCUCAGACCAGAGUAAGACAGGCAACAAGGUUGAGGAGUAGCCAUAUGCAGAAAUAACCUGUGUAUCUAGCCACAGGAUCUCCAACACUGUGUCACUCGGGAAUCAAAAUACAGAGACAGUUCCUCAAUAGAGUGUGGAUCUAGCCCAGAAUGUGGACAAGGGGAGUGGAGAAGGGGAGAGGUACACACUGAGCAUUGUAACAAGGCCUGUCCUCAAGCUUGAGGAGGAUUAGGAAGAUGGCUUGAGUCUGGGAGUAGGAGGCUGCAGUGAGCUAUGAUUGUACCACUGUACCCCAGCCUAGGUGACAGAGUGAGACCCUGUCUCUUAAAAGAAAAAAAAAAUUGACCUGGAUCUACUCAUACCCACCCUGGUCUUUGAGCAGAAAGAAUCAUUUGGGAAUUAUUUUGUCUCAUCUUUCUCCAUGAUCACUGUUGAAGAAUUUGGUCACUGUAACCAGGUAAAUAUAAAACUCAGGUGGGCCGGGCGCGGUGGUUCACACCUGUAAUCCCAGCAGUUUGGGAGGCUGAGGUGAGUGGAUCACGAGGUCAGGAGAUCAAGACCAUCCUGGCUAACACAGUGAAACCCUGUCUCUAUUAAAAAUACAAAAAAUUAGCCAGGCGUGGUGGUGGGCGCCUAUAGCUCCAGCUGCUCGGGAGGCUGAGGCAGGAGAAUGGUGUGAACCCGGGAGGUGGAGGUUGCAGUGAGCCGAGAUCGUGCCACUGCACUCCAGCCUGGGUGACAGAGCAAGACUCCGUCUCAAAAAAAACUCAGAUGAACUAUAGCUAAGUCAGUGCUCUUGACACUUUUUUAGCAAUAGUAGCUUUGUUUCUCACAGAAAAAACAAAAUUUUCUGUGGAACCACACUAUUUAAAACAUAAGCAAUAUUAGUAUCAACUUGUAUAAUUUAUAGAUCUACUGAUAAAAACAAUCAAGAAUAGUCUACCUUAAUUGAAUCAGGAGGAGAUAACUGCAGUCUUACAUCAGCCAUACUCGUAUCCAUGAAAUAUGAGUCAGUCAUUUGCACAACUCCCUGAGUCACCUUCUGGAACACAGAAAACACUGAGCCAAGUUAGCCCAGGACCUGAACCUUUUGUGGAAAGGAAAAUCUGUAGUGUCUCCUCAGAGUAUGGCUGCCCUUUCACCUGGUAGUCAGUUUCUCAUGACGGUUACUCGAGCAUUUAUAAGGCAGUUGUGAAAUAACCAAGACAUUCUGUGUGUUGUGCUACUGAUGCUCCUCCUGUCACCGACCUCCUCUCCAAAUGAGGCCUGCCUUUUGUCCUUGGUAGUAGGCAGUCCACAGUGUAACCAGCUACAGGGGAAGUAUUUACUUUGAUAGCCACUUGACCUUGAUCAAGUCAGGUGACUCAUUUCUGGAUAACAUUUUUGAGAGUAUACUGAGCCAGGCACCUUGAGGAUACGAAAGUGGAUUAUAGUUUCCAUUCUGGAGAAACUCACAGUCCAGUAAGUUAAACAAUCACAAGAACAAGUUUCCAGCAAUGAGAGUGAUUACAGCCACUGAGUGGUGAAAUCUGAGAAAUGCAAAGCCUGCCGCCUAUAAAUACCUACAUUUAUCGCCUGGGCAUAUACCUAAAAUUCCACCAUGAGAAAUAUAUUUAUAUGAAAUUAGAAACUACCCAGAAAUUGUGCGUCCAAAUAAAAAUUCCCACAAGAAAUAAGGAUGGCUAAUAGUUUUAAGUAGUAGUGUCAAGUCUUUUGGACCAGAGUAACUGCCAGGGACGUUGUGUUGAGGAUUCUGAGGUCAUGUUCCAGCUUAGCCGAGAAGGGAGCCACCAUGAGGGAACGAGUGAGGGAGGGUAGCACUUGUGCCCCAUAUUUUUUCCUAAGUAAAUCAUUUGUUGAUGGAAUGCAUGAUGAAACAGGGACAGCCAGGGUCUCUGGCAUCUGGGAGAAAGCCCACUUGGAAACUGAUUUAUCUACCUCACCACUGCAAGUUCACCAUUUGUCCCCAGACUAAAUGGCCUUAGGAAGCCCAGGCUCUGUCUUGUCGAACUCUACCUUCUUUAUCCUUCCAUACUUUUCAAGAAGAGAAAUGGUAUAUAUAUGUGGGAUCCUUGAGAACUAGGAUGUACCUGUGAGCAGGCAAAGUGUAGCAUCUAGCAGGGUCAGGCAUAAGUUGGAAGUGAGAGAGGUGGCUACUGUGCUCCCCAAUGGCUGUUCUCCCAUCUCCCAUAGUUUCAAGGCCUGUUUUGUGAGGAACAGCAGUAUGCCCAGCUCAAAGAUGACAGCUGGCCACAGGACUAAGUCUGGCCAAUAAGAUGUGAGUGGACGCUUCCAGAAAAGCUCUCUAAAGAGGCUACCUCUAGCCAGGCGCAGUGGCUCACGCCUGUAAUCCUAGCACUUUGGGAGGCCAAGGCAGUGGAUCACCUGAGGUCGAGAGUUCAAGACCAGCCUGGCCAACAUGGCAAAACCCCGUCUCUACUAAACAUACAAAAAUUAGCCGGGCAUGGCCGUGCCGCAUGCCUGUAAUCCCAGCUACUCAGGAGGCUGAGGAGGGAGAACUGCUUGAACCCAGGAGGUGGAGGUUUGCAGUGAGCUGAGAUGUUGCCACUGCACUCCAGCCUGCACGACAGGAGCGAGCCUCCAUCUCAAAAAAAAAAAAAAAAUAAAAGCUGCCUCUUCUCUGCUUCUUGGAGUAUGGUCAGGAUAGCUGGAAUUCUAGCAUCCAGUUUUGAAUGCCAAGUGACCUUGAAGAUAGAAGCCAUGAACUAAGAUAAUGUCCCUGUGUAAGCUUCUUUUACAUGAGAGAAAUAAACUGUGUGUAUAAAUCAUUGUUAUUUUGAAUUCCCAAGUUGUAUGCAGGCAAAUGUAAUCCCGAUCUAGCCAGGAAUUGGUAUUAUUCAUUGAUAAGAGCUUCAUAUAUUCAUGUUGACAGUUUUCCUUGAUUGGCCCCCAGAUGAUAGGUAUUGUGACCAAGACCUGUGGGGCUAUCAUGUGUACUUGGCUCCCUAUAGGAGAAUCCAGGAUGGAAUGGAAUGAUACAGUAGGCAGCCUCUGGAGCCAAGAUACGGUAUAGGUAGGAAAAAGAAAUGAUUCACCCAAGAGGCAGAUUAGGCCCAUGAAAAUUAGGAUUGUCAGAUGCAUUACUUUAAUACAGCACUUCUUCAGUAUUCCCAGAACUGUAGCUAAUGGUUCCUCUGAAUAGGAAGCUCCUUGAAUAUACCCUGGCAAGAAAUCUUUCUAUCCAAGGUGACUGGCAUUGGGAGGGGAUUUAUUGAGUGUCUCCCUCGAGCCAGGCACUUUCACAUACCUUAAUCUUAGUUAACUGGCUUCACUUCAGACCCUGUCCCUAACAGGACAAAACCCAACAGCAUUUUGAAAGCAAAACAGGGAUAGUUGAUGAGUUGUAUUAACGUACUUGUCUCUGUCUCACGUUAGUAACCUCCAAGGAACUCAAAACGCACUGCAGCUAUAAUUCGACAUUAAAAUAGCCCUGGGCCCCCCAGGAGCAGCUCAAUAGACCCUACUGAAGCAGGCGGUCCUGUCCCUCCCCUGCUUAAAAUCUGUCAGUAGCUUCUCAUUGUUUUUAACUAAAAACCCAGCCCACCUGACAGUCAGGUUGGCCUGCUCGCCAGGCUUUCUCCCCAGCUGCUCAAACCUGCUCACAACUCCCUCUGUGUCUGCCACUCUGGCCUCUCACUUUACUCCUGUGACCUCGUCCCUCUGAGCACCAUUCCUCCCCACCUCUGCAUGUCUUUAAUCUGACUUAAGCUUCAAGGCCUGGCACAAACAAUGCUUUUCCUUUGUCCUUCAUACUGGAGAUCAUAAACUCGCAUAGAUUCUCUCUGAAUAAAUAAAUAUUUUCCAUGCCAGUUAGCAUUUUUUUAAAACUAUAAUGACUGCAAAAUAUAUUGUAUUAGGUGUACUCUAACUUAUUUAACCUCUCCCCAAAGAAUGGACAUUUCAUUUGUUUCUUUUUCAGGAUGAUAAAAAACAGUUACGGGAUGAAAAAAUUUUUUUUUAUUUUUUAUUUUUAGUAGAGAUGGGGUUUCACCAUGUUAGCCAGGAUGAUCUCGAUCUCCUGACCUUGUGAUCCACCCAUCUGGGCCUCCCAAAGUGCUGGGAUUACAGGCAUGAGCCACUGCACCCGGCCGGGGAUGAACAUUUUUAUAUGCUAAUCUUUGUCAGCAUCUGCUCAUUUCUAUAAAAGGAAUCAUUAGAAUUGGAAUUCCUAGGUCAUUUUGACCAAAAAGGAACAUUUUUAAAUCUCUUAAUAUUGCCAUAUGACAUCUUAGAAAGUUUACAUCAUUUUACACAAAUAAUUGUUUCCUUAUCGAUGUUCCAAACCUAGAGAACUUUUGGUCAUUCUGUGAUCUGUAAUUGGAGAAAUUUCCAUUGCUCUAGCAGCAUUUUAUACAUACUUAUCAAGAUGUAUUAUGAUUUAUACACAUUUAUCAAGAUGUAUUAUGUUUUACUUGCAUUUCUCCAAGUAAGCUCUGAAGUGGAAAACAGAACUUGUUUUACUCUUUGUAGCACAGUACUGAGAACAGUAACACCUAACAGGCCCUUUCUAGGUAAAUCUGCAGAAACAGUAAUUGUCUCAAUCUCAGUUUCCCUGUGGUAGACCAAAAUAAAGCUUUGCAUACCUAACCUAGGGAAGCUGCAUACAGUUGGAGAGCUGGAUUCAACUAAACCUGGCCUGACAGCUCUUCAACAUGUUUUUCUUUUCCAAGUUCCACAUUGCUCACUGUGUCCUUUUAACACUCCUGUUUUUUAUUUUAUCCAUCACACGAAGUUGUAGUUGGUUCUGCCUGCAGUGUUUCUCCAUGAUGUAAUAUAACCUCAUUAUAUACACUCAGGAGCCUGAGAAAUGAGUAUCACAAACCACAGAGUCUUCUUGUUGCUUAGUUACUAUCCUGCAUUUCCUGGAGACUUUACCUUGGCAAAGUAUAUGAUGCUACGUUUUAAUGAAUGUUGAUUGGUCACUGUAUGAUAAAUGCCAGGAAAAACAAUGAAUGAUAAAAAGAAGUGUAAAUCCCACUCUUCUGCCUAUAUCCCAGCUCCAUUUUCACGUCUUUUGGUAUCAGCCCCAGGAUUUGGGGUCUUCUGUUUGAAAAUGAGAUCAGUUCCGUAACAUCUGUAUAGCUUUGCUUGCUAUGGUACUGGGCUGGAAAGAGGCAGGUCAAAGCGAGUGCCCCCCUCACUGGUGUGCCCUGAGGAUGCAGAGGCCCUCUUUGCCUGGUGAUAACACCUUCAAUGCCCGUUAGGGGGCCCAAAAUUGCCAGUUUAUUAUCCCUUUGGGACUGAUGCCUUAAAAUCUCAUUUUGUCUUUGAGAAGUGGUAUUUGGAAUAUUCACACAUCAAAGUGUUAUCGUUCUCUGCUAGCACAGUACCAGCUAGUUUAUCUUAGCCAGCUGGCUUACCUCUCAAGGCACUAAAGGAACGGAAAAACACAGGGCAAUCUCUGUAAGCCUCGUUCCUUCACUUGGUAACCUCUGAAAAGCUAGAGAGAAAGGACCAGUGAGAGAACAGGAUCAGCUCUUGCUGGGGGUCCAGCCAGGAGCCACCAUGGAGGGCCUGGAGCACUUAGAGGAAAACAUGGGGACAUCAGGUAUGCAGGAGAUCAGGCAAAAAACAGUAAAGUCAGCUUAGGAAAGACUCGUACCUCUCACCCCCACUGCCUCAACCUCCUCCAAAGUGUAGAGUUCAUAGCUUUUCCUUGGGAAGCUUCUGUGUAUACAGUGCUCAACAGAAGAGAGGAACAGGAUUUAGGUUACUAUCUUCCAUACCCUAAAAGUGAACAUUGUAAUAUUGCAAAUACAGUAGCAGAAGGAAAGCACUUCUCAGGAAGUAAAAAUACAUCUACUCCUGCUAACAGUUUUCUCCAUUCACAAAAUAUUACUGAUUUUUUUAAAAUUUGGAAAGAAUAUUAAUAUUCAUAGAUGUUAGAUUAGUUGGGCAAAAUAUGCUAAAAAUUGCCAUUUAAUUUAUAAUAGUGAAAAACAAUGCAACCUAAAUGCCCAUGAAUGAUAACUAAUUACAUACAGUGGACUACAAUGGAAUUCUAUGAAGUCAUAAAAAUAAGGAUGUACAUCUGUAUUUAUUGUUAUAGAAAGAAAGCCACGAAAUAUUGUUGAGAGAGAAAGCAGAUUGCAAAACUGAAUAUAUAUGCAAAGAGAUGUUUUUAGGGAUAUUCACUGUUAAACAGUGAUUAACUUAGUUGACUUUUUUUUCCUCUGUUCCUUCUUUUUUCUUUUUUACUUUAAAUAUUUAUCUUUUUUAAAAGAAAUAAUACAUUUCCUCCCUCCAAAAAAGAAUAGCCUAGCGAAAUAUUUUUACUUCAAAUGCUUUUCCCCUUAUUAAUCUUUGUAUAAACCAUUGUGGUUUGCUAAAACAAGGAAGGUUGUAGAGUAGAAUCCAUGCCCACGUUAGAACAAAAUCCAGGCAGGAAGACACUUCAUACGUGGUUAUAAGACCAGGAGGACGAGGAGACAAAGGGAAGCAAUGGUGUUUGUUUGUUUGUUUGUUUGUUUUAAGAGACAGUGUCACUCUGUCACCCAGGUUGGAGUACAGUGGCACCAUCAUAGCUCAGUGCAGCCUCCAACCCCUGGGUUCCAGCGAUCCUCCCACCUAAGCCUCUCUAGUAUCUGGGACUACCGGUAUGCACCACCACAUCCAGCCAAUUUUUAAUUUUUCUUUUUUUGAGACAGGGUCUUGCUAUGUUGCCCAGGCUGGUCUCAAACUCCUAGGCUCAAGCAAACCUCCCAAAGCACUGGGAUUACACGUGUGAGCCACCACACCCGGCCUAGAAGCAAUGGUUCUGAUCCAGGAAAAGUGCAGCCUGGAAACUCAGCAAUCUGUACAGAAUCCUAGCUCUUAGACUAAAAGGCAUCAACUGGUACAAUUUCUUGCCUUUGGGCACUGAACGUGUUAGCUUCUAUUUUAUUUAACUUACUGUAAAAUUAUAUUAGCUAUGCUGCCACUUAAGCCAAGAUGCUUUCUGUCUAGUCACUUCGGUUCCAUCCUUUUGAGCGCCCUGCCGUUUCAUUGCCUCUCCUUUCUCAUUCCUCUCCCCAAGGCUGUACUUUGAGUAACUGUAUGUGCAUUUUCCUGUGCCUUUUCAUUAUUAAAACACUGUAAAAGGUAAUGUCUCCAAAAUGCAAACCAUAGUCUUCUCCAUUGAAAAAUAUUUUCCAGGCCAGGCACUCCACUGUGCCACUGCACUCCACCUGGAUGACAGAGUGAGACUCUGUCUCAAAAAAAAAACAAAAAACUCAUUAAACUGUAAAAUGGGCGCAUUUUAUUUUAUGUAAACUGUAUCUCAGUAAAGUUUAUUUAUUUAUUUUUGAGACAAAGUCUUGCCCUGUUGCCUAGGUUAAAGUGCAGUGGCAUAAUCAUGGCUCCCUGCAGCCUUGAACUCCUGGGCUCAAGCGAUCCUCCUACCUCAGCCUCCUCCCAAGUAUUUGGGACCACGGGCAUGUGCCACCAUGCCCAGCUAAUUUUUUUUUAAGAGAUGGCGUCUUGCUAUGUUGCCCAGGCUGGUCUCGAACUUCUGACCACAAGAGAUCCUCCUGUCUUGGCUUCCCAAAGUUUUGGGAUUACAGGCAUGAACCACCAGGCCUGACCAAAGUUGAUUUUAAAAAAUGAAAGGGGGGCCAAGCGCAGUGACUCAACCCUUAUAAUCCCAGCACUUUGGGAGGCCGAGGCGGGUGGAUCACCUGAGAUAGGGAGUUCAAGACCAGCCUGAUCAACAUGGAGAAACUCUGUCUCUACUAAAAAAUACAAAAUUAGCUGGGAGUGGUGGCGCAUGCCUGUAAUCCCAGCUACUCGGGAGGCCUCAGCUUGAACCCUGUAGGCAGAGGCUGCAGUGAGCUGAGAUCACGCCAUUGCACUCCAGCCUGAGCAACAAGAGCGAAACUCUGUCUCAAAAAAAAAAAAAAAAAGGGUCUGUGCUUGGUGGCUCACACCUGCAAUCCCAGCACUUUGGGAGGCCAAGGUGGGUGAAUCACCUGAGGUCAGGAGUUCGAGACCAGCCUGGCCAACGUGGUGAAACCCCUCUCUACUAAAAAUAAAAAAAUUAGCCAGGUGUGAUGGCGCACGCCUGUAGUCCCAGCUACUCAGGAGGCUGAGGCACAAGAAUUGCUUGAACCUAGGAGGCAGAGGUUGCAGUGAGCCGAGAUCAUGCCACUGCAUUCCAGCCUGGGUGACAGAGUGAGACUCCAUCUCAAAAAACAACAAAAAUGAAAGGGAAAUAAGAGUCAUUACCAAUAUAAUUAGGUUUAAAUUUUUAGUUAAAAUCAAAUUUUAACUGGGAUUGCCAAAAAUGUCCUUAACUUCAUAUCUCCAAAUAAAAUGUCUGCAGUUAAUUUAUGUUGUUUAUACAGCUAGCUAAUUCUCUAUAUUUUUAUAGUAUGUUGACACUUAAAAUUUCAAUCUCUUCUAGUGGUUCCAUGAGUGGGACUGAGGGGAUGAUGGGUGUUCUCAUUAUAGCCUUCAGAAGGCUGCCUAUAUAUAAGUGUGCACAAAUAACUAUUAUUCAGAGAAUUAGAAUCAUCACAAAAUAUCCUUUAUGAAGGAUAAAUAUAGGCUAAUUUAUCCUUUAUGACUGUUAAAUAUAGGCUAAUGUUUCUUUUAUUCUUCAGACCCAUUUCAACUUUAUAGAAAAAAAAGUAUGCACAAAAGCAGCACUCUAUAAUUAAAAAAAAUUCCUUAUUGGUCUUUUGGAUUUUGGUUCUGCAUAAGUAUGAGUUUCUCAUCAGGCCUCUCUAGACUACUAAAGCCUAAAGUGAUGCUUCCCCCAUCUCAGCUCUUAGAGGAAUUACUGGGUGUCUUGUUUAUUUGGCAAUUCCGUGCUUACAAACUCUUUUCAAUGAGAUCUUCAGCUCCUUGAGACCACAGUAGAUACCUACGUAUUUGUCGGUGUAAUUUUGUUGUGUUGAUUUACUGAAUUCAAAGGGUUUGUACAAAUACUUUGUUUACAGGGUUUCAUUACAAAUCCAAAUAAGCUCAUAUGCUUAGUAAUUCCAAAAAUGUUAUAGGUAUUCAGAUUAGCAUUGCUCAUUCAUGCCAUUUAAUUUACAGAGCUCAGCUGCAGUAAUUUUCUCCAGUGGAUGAUGUAAGGAAGGCAUUGGCAGAGGAGUAAGAGACUUGGCUUCAGAGUGGGCAGUAAUAGGGCUAAAUCUGGUUUUACAAAGCAGGUACUGUAAAGCUCUCAUUGCCUUUCUGAGGACAAGGCUUUGAGCUAUGAGUGCCAGGGUCGUCUGUCUAAGUGGAGGCUUCUUAAAGGAAUUGAGCCUCGUUUCCUGGGUUUGAGGUGUAUUCUUUUUCACAUUCCCUUUGUACACCAAAUAUAUUUAGUAUUUAUUAUCUUUGAAGUUUAGACCUUUGGAAUUUUUUUUUUUUUUUGAGGCAAAGUCUCACUGUAGCCCAGGCUGGAGUGCAGUGGUGUGAUCUCAGCUCAUUGCAACCUCUGCCUCCUAGGUUCAAGCGAUUCUCCUAUAUCAGCCUCCUGAGUAGCGAGGACUACAGGCACGUGCCCACCAUGCCCUGCUAAUUUUUGUAUUUUUAGUAGAGACAGGGUUUCACCAUGUUGGCCAGGCUGGUCUCAAACUCCUGACCUCAGGUGAUCUGCCUUCCCUGGCCUCCGGACAUGCUGGGAUUACAGGUGGGAGCCACCACGCCAGGCCACAGUUUGAUGAGUUUUGAGAAAGUAAUAUACGCAUGUAACCACCAUCACCACAAUCAAGAUCUAGAACAUUUCCAUCACCCCAAAAUUCCCUGGUACUCGUCCCUGGUCCCAGGCAAGCCCUGAUCUGUUUUCUGUCACUGUGGAUCAGAUUUGUCUUUUCUAGAGUCUCAUAAAAAUGUGAUCUUAUAAAAUGUAUAGACUCUUGUGUGUAAGGUUUCUUUUCCUCAGCAUAAUGUUUUUAGACUUGUCUAUGUUGCAUGAAUGAGUGGUUCAUUUCUGUUUAUCACUGAGUAUUUUUCCAGUGUAUGUAUAUACCACAAUUUGUUUAUAUACCACAAAUGUUGAUGGACAUUUAGGCUUUGUCCAGUUUUGUCUAUUAUGAAUAAAGCCAUUAUGAACAUCUAUGUACAAGUUUUUGUGUGGACAUGUUUUCUCUUGGGUAAAUAUCUAGGAGUAAGACUACUGGGUUGUAUGCUAAGUGUAUGUUUAAUUUUAAAAGAAAUGGCAGCCGAGUGCGGUGGCUCAUGCCUGUAAUCUUAGCAAUUUGGGAGGCCGAGGCGGGCAGAUCACCUGAGGUCAGGAGUUCGAGACCAGCCUGGCCAACAUGACGAAACCCUGUGUCUACUAAAAAUACAAAAAAAAUUUGCCACGCAUGGUGGCACACACCUGUAAUCCCGCUACUUGGGAGGCUAAGGCAGGAGAAUCGCUUGAACCUGGGAGGUGGAGGUGAGACUGAGCCAAGCUCACACCACUGUACUCCAGCCUGAGCGACAGAGCGAGACUCCAUCUCAAAAAAAAUAAAAAAUGGCCAAACUGUUUUCCAAAGUCCUGGUACCAUCUUACAUCCUACCGGUAAAGUUAUGAGAGUUGUAGUUGCCCUACAUUCUCACCAAUACUUGCUAUUAUCAGUCUUUUUAAUUUUCACCAUCCUAAUGGAUACGUAGUGGUAUCUCACUGUGGUUUUACUUUGCAUUUCCCUGAUGGCUAAUGAUGUUGACAUAUUUUUGUGUGCAUGUUGGAUACUAAUAUAUCUUUGUAAAGUGCCUAUUCAGUGUCUUUUCCAAUUUAGUUGGGUUGCUAAAAAGUCUUCAUAUAUUCCAGAUACAAUACCUUUGGCAGGUAUGUAGAUAUGUGUUGUGUGACUAUUUUCUCCCAGUCUGUGACUUGUCUUCAUUUUGUUAGCAUUGUCUUUUGAAGAGCAGAAGUCUUUAACUUUGUAAAAGUCUAAUUUUUUGCUAUCUUCUUUUAUAGCUCUUGUCUUUUUUUGUUUUUUUGUGUGUGUGUAUUCAAUUAUCUAAGAACUCUUUGACUCCCUUCAGAUCAUGUAAAUGUUCUCCUGUUUUAUUUUAGAAAUUUUAAUUUUACCUUUUUUUUUUUUUUUGAGACAGAGUCUUGCUCUGUCACCCAGGCUGGAGUGUAGUGACGUGAUCUCAGCUCACCGCAGCCUCUGCCUCCCAGGUUCCAGCAAUUCUGCCUCAGCUUCCCAAGUAGCUGGGACUACAGGAGGCAAGCACUGCGAUGCCCAGCUAAUUUUUGUAUUUUUAGUAGAGACAGGGUUUCACCAUGUUGGCCAGUAUGGUCUUGAUCUCCUGACCUGGUGAUCCACCCGCUUCGUUCUCCCAUAGUGCUGGGAUUACAGGCGUGAGCCACCGCACCCAUCCAAGUUUUACCUUUUAAGCUUAGGUACAUGAUCCAAUUUGAGGUGAAUUUUGUGUAUGAGUAAGUUAAUAAUCAAUGUUCAUUUUUUCCCAUAUGGAUAUCCAGUUUUUCCGGUACCAUUUGUUGAAAAGACUGUCUUUCCCCUAUUGACUUACUGUGGCCACUUUGUCAAAAAUUACUUGCCCAUAGACAUGCGGGUUCAUUUAUUUUGUUCCAUUGAUCCAAAUGUUGAUCCUUUAAUAAUAAUGUAGCUUUAUAGUCAGUCUUGAAAUUUGAUAGUUUGAAUAUUCCAACUUUGUUGUUCUUUUUCAAAAAUUUUUUGCAUUCUAAGUCCUUUGUGUUUUUAUAUAAAUUUUAGAAUAAGUUAUGUAAGUGCCUGCUGGGAUUUUCUUUUUUUUGAGACAGGGUCUUACUAUGUCACCCAGACUGAAGUGCAGUGGCAUGAUCACAGGUCAUUGCAUCCUCAACCACCCAGACUCAAGCAAUCCUCCUGUCUCAGCCUUCCAAGUAACUGAGACCACAGGUGCGUACCACCACACCUGGCUAUUUUGCUGCUGUUUGUUUUUGUAGAGAUGGGGUUUCACCACAUUGCCCAGGCUGAUCUUGAAUUCCUGGGCUCAAGCAGUCUUCCCACCUCAGCCUCCAAAAGUGCUGGGAUUAUAGGUGUGAGCCAUCGUGCCCCACCCCUGCUGGGAUUUCAGUUAAGAUUACAUUGUAUCUGUGGAACAAUUUGGGAAAAAUGGUCAUCAUCAUAUUUAGUCUUGUAGUUCAUAGACAUAGUAUAUCUCCAUUUAUUUGCGUCUUUAAUUUUCAGCAUAACAUUCAGCAAUGUUUUUAUAGUUUUAAUUGUAUAGGUGCCUUGCAUGUAUUAUGUUAAAUUUAUCCCUAACUAGUCCAUGUUUUUGAUACUAUAGUAAAUGGUGUUUGUGUGUGUGUGUGUGUAUUUUUUUUUUUUUUUUUUAGACAAAGCCUCACUCUGUCACCCAGACUGGAGUGCAGUGGUAUAAUCAUAGCUCACUACAGCCUUGACCUCCUGAGCUCAAGCAGUCCUCCUGUCUCAGCCUCCCAAGUAGCUGGGAUGACAGUGUGCACCACCACACCCAGCUAAUUUUUUUUUUUUUGGUCUUGCUGUGUUGCCCGGGCUGGACUCAAGUGAUCUUCCCUUCUCAGCCUCUCAAAGUGCUGGAAUUACAGGCAUGAGCCACCGUGCCCAGCCAGAGGUAUUGUUUUUGAUACUAUAGUAAAUAUUUUAUUUAAAUUUCCAGGUGGUUAUUGCUAGUAUGCAGAAAAUAUUUUUUUGCAUUAACCUAUGCUAAAGUCACUUACUAUUUUGAUUUGCCUUUCAUAAAGAUUCCUUAAAUGUUUCUACAUACACAAUCAUGUCAUCUGCAGAUAGACAGUUUUAUUUCUUCUUUUCAAUCUGUAUGGUUUUCUUUGCCUUUUUCUUGCCUAUUGUACUGGCUAGGACUUCCAGUGUAAUGUUUAAUAGAAAUCCUGAGACUGGACAUCCUUGCCUUAUUUUCAAUCUGAGGAGAAAGCAUUCAGUUGUUCAUCAUUAACAGACAAUGUUAGCUGAAGGUUUUUCAGAGCUUGUGUACUCUACCAGGAUGAAGAAGGUCCCUUCUAUUUCCAGUUUGCUAAGAGUUUUAAAAUUGUGAAUGGAUGGCGAAUUUUGUUAUUUUUCUGCAUCUAAUAAGAGAAUCAUAUAUGGUUUUUCUCCUUUGUUCUGUUAAUAUGGUAGGUAUGUUGAUUUUUUUAGUGUUAAAACAAGCUUGCAUUCUUGGGAUAAACCCCACUUAGUCAUGAUGCAUUAUCCUUGUUAUAUAUUGCUGAAUUCAGUUUGCCAAAAAUUUAACUAAGGAUGUUUGCAUCUGUAUUCAGUGAGGUAUACUGUAUUCAGUGAGGUAUUCCUUUCAAUGUCAUUGUCUGGGCUCAGACAAUGACUAGAGAAGUCAUCUUUCUUUGUUUUUAGAAUGAGUUUGUGUGUGUUUGUUAUUAUUUUUCCUUAAAUAUUUGAUAGAAUUUACUGCUGAAGCCACCUCAGUCUGAAGUUUCUUUGCAGGAAGUUUUAAUUCAUAAUUAAAUUUCCUUAGCAUAUAUAGGGCUUUUUUCUUUUUUCUUUUUUUGAGACAGAGUGUCACAGUGUCUCCCGGGCUGGAGUGCAAUGGCGCGAUCUCAGCUUACUGCAGCCUUUGCCUCCCGGGUUCAAGCAAUUCUCCUGCCUCAACCUCCCAAGUAGCUGGGAUCACAGGCGCCUACCACCAUGCCCAGCUAAUUUUUUGUAUUUUCAGUAGAGACAGGGUUUCACUAUGUUGGCCAGGCUGGUCCCAAACUCCUGAGAUGAGGAUAAUUUUUUGUAUUUUUAGUAGAGACGGGGUUUCACUAUGUUGGCCUGGCUGGUCUCAAACUCCUGACCUCGUAAUUCACCCACCUCGGCCUCCCAAAGUGCUGGGAUUACAAGUGUGAGCCACCGUGCCUGGCCUUCUUUCUAGUUUCUUGAAUCACUAUGGUUAAUCUGUGGCAUUCAACCAAUUUGUCCAUUUUAUCUAUGCCAUUGAAUUUAUUUACAUAAUUAUAAUCUUUUUUUGUUUUAAUGUCUGCAAGAUCUGUGGUGAUAUCUAUUUCAUUCCUAAUGUUGGUAAUUUUUUCUUUUCCUGCUUGCUCUUAUUGUUUGUUUGUUUGUUUGUUUGUUUUGAGAUAGGUUCUCAUUCUGUCACCCAGACCAGGCUGGAAUACAGUAGCGAUCAUAACUCACUCAGCCCCAAACUCCUGGUCUCAGGCAGUCCUCCUGCCUCAGCGUUUCAAAUUGUUGGGAUUACAGGCAUGAGCCACUGUGUUCAGCCUCUUUUAAUUCCUAUAUGUAUUAGCCAGUUGAGGUGGCUUGCUUGAACCCAAGAGUUCUGGGCAACACAGCAAGACCUCAUCUCUACAAAUAAUUUUAAAAAUUAGCUGGGGCAUGGUGGCGCACACCUCUGGUCUCAGCUACUUGAGAGGCUGAGACAGGUGGAUCACUUGAGCCCAGGCAGUCAAGGCUUCGGUGAGCCGUGAUCCCGCCACUGCACUCCGGCCCAGGUGACACUAUGAGACUCUGUCUCAAAAAAAUAAACUAUAGAAAAUCUGAGUAGCCCUAUAUGUAGUAAGGAAAUUUAAUUAUCAGUUAAACUGUCACCUGGGUAACAGAGUGAGACCACGUCUCAAGGGAAGGGGAGGGGAGGGGAGGGUCUUGUAUUUAUUAUUUCCUUCCUUUUACUUGGUUUUACUUUGGUUUAAUUUGGUUUACAUUGGUUUAAUUUGUUCUUCUUUUACUAUUUUUUUUUUACUGAAUCAUCAUUAUUGUUCUACCACUCGAAUCACCGCAUUGCUGUUGCUAAAUGACCAAUAGACCAACAGAUCCUUCCAUAGAAACAAAAAAAAGCCCUUGCUUUUCAAUAUUACCAAAGGGAAACAUAUAGUCAGAACUGCAAGAAAACUGCCUUGUGAUCCGGCUUCUGUCACAUUUUAGUUUACAAUACAGGAGCAUAAAGUAGCUACUCAACUACCUCGAAAAUAAGAGAAUCAUUUACCUUUCUGUAUAUAACCUAAUUAAAACCAUGUCAGAUCCAGCAAAACUGAUUUUCAUCUCUCCUCAGUAGAUAUAGGAGUAUAUAUUGAUAUUUCUACUUCAUGACUAGAUAGGGGACUAAAUUAAAAUUCGCUACUCAGUUCUCAGUUGUAAGGCCCACAGUUGCACAUGGGUAGGUGGGUAGUUGCACAUGCACAGAGUUGGUGGUCACAACUCUGCUUUCUUGCCCUUCUGCUUAACAUGGAGCUAUUUAAUCUUAUUUAUUUAUUUAUUUAUUUAUUUAUUUAGAAAUAGGGUCUGCUCUGUCACCUUGGCUGGAGUGCAGUGGCACAAUCAUGGCUCACUGCAGCCUAGAACUCCUGGGCUCAAGUGAUGUUCCCACCUUAGCCUCCUGAGUAGCUGGGACUAUAGACACACACAACCACGCUCUGCCAAUUUUGAAAUUUUUUGUAGAAAUGAGGUCUCCCUAUGUUGCCCAGGCUGGUCUUGAACUCCUGGCCUCAAGCAGUCCUCCCACCUCAGCCUCCCAAGUGCUAGGAUUACAGGCAAGAGCCACAGCGCCAGGCUGGAACUAUGUAAGAUAGCACUUAGCCCUGCAUGUAUGUGUUACUAACAAUGGUUGUGUAGAUCACUCCUCCAAAGGGAAAGUCUCUCUAGAUGGGUUUUUGCCCCAAUUAAGCAAUAGCUUCCUCCAAACGGUGCUCACCUAUCCAUUGACUGCGAUAUUUGAAGACAAAGUGAGUCUUCACUCACCAUCACCAUUCCCCACGUCCCCUUUCCCUGGGAGCGCACACACUUAGGAGGGCAGUGCUGCUUCCUCCACAGCAGUGACAGCUGGCCAGGAUUUAUGAAAUGUCUCUCAAGGAAAUGUGCUCUCUUCCAUGCUCAGAGAUGCCACGUGGUCACAGUGCAGUCUUCAUGCAGUUGUAGCUUAGACUUCCAGAUUCAAAGGUCAGAAACCAGCUUGGAAUUUUCCUGGUCCUAACUCAAACCUGGCAUAAGUCAAAGUUUAAAUCCAACAGGUUCCAAAGGAAAUCAGAUUAAACACAUGUGCUGCUUGGUCAUGCAAGGACCCUGGAGUAGAAAAGUAGGUAUUGCCGUCUUGGUCAUGAAAGCCACAACAUCACCAGCAAGAGGACAGGCACUUAGAUCUGUUCACUGCUGUGCCCUCAACUCCUGGAAUAGGACCUGGUGCAGAGUGUGAUCAGAAAGUAUUUAUUGAGUUUCAGGUACAGUGGCUCAUGCCUGUAAUCCUAACACAUUGGAAGACCAAGGUGGGAGGAUCACUUGAGCCCAGGAGUUUGAGACCAGCCUGGGUGACACAGGGAGACCCUAUCUCUAUAAAAAAUAAACUUAAAAAAAAAUUGGGCCCUGCACAAUGGUUCACGCCUGUAAUCCCAGCUCUUUGGGAAACUGAAGCGGAUGGAUCAUCUGAGGUCAGGAAUUCGAGACCAGCCUGGCCAACAUGGUGAAACCCCCAUCUCUACUAAAAAUAGAAAAAUUAGCCGGGCGUGGUGGCGGGCACCUGUAAUCCCAGCUACUCGGGAGGCUGAGGCAGGAGAAUCACUUGAACCCAAGAGGUGGAGGUUGCAGUGAGGCGAGAUUGCACCACUGCACUCCAGCCUGGGCAACAGAGCGAGACUUGGUCUACACGCUUUGUAAUCUAAAACAUUCUCUACCAAUACCUCAAUCAGUGAAUUCUUGCUUUAUUGAUACAUUCUAGUAUUCAGUUGUGAUUUUAAUAUGCUAUUUUGGUACUUUCUGCUUUCAGUUUUCAUUGCUGUGGCUAUUGCCUUAAACAGAAACAAAAAACUAAAACAAUUUUACAACCAUCCAAAAGAGGCUUGGAAACUUUUUUUUGGCUGGAUAUCCAUAGCACAAUUUAAUUCAGUAAACAUAAACAGUUAAAAUUAUUCCAGUACACAACCAUGUUUUAAAAAAGAGAUUACACCCAAUUUUGGCAACAACACCCAGGAAAUAAGCAUUCUUUUACAUUUGGUUCAAACUUUCUGAAUGGCAGUUGUGCAACACUUGUUGUGAAAAACUUUAGAAUAUUAUAAACAUGUUAAUCCUGUAUUUCCAUUUCUGUGAAUUCAUCCAAAAGAAAUAACCAUGGAUAUGGGUAGAGACAGAGCCAUAUGGAAUGCACACUGCAGUGGUGAACACAUGGCCCAGCUCUGCCAUCAAGGAGAAGGUGAGAACAUGGGGGAAGAUUUUAUCGAAGUUUCUUUUCUGGGGCAUAUGCUCAGGUUAAACACCUGCUCUGUAUCUCUAGCUUCUGACUCCUACCCCUGGCCAGCUCUGUUACUCUAGUACACUGCUAGGCAGGCAGAGUAUGGCCAAAGUAUUCACAACAGUGCAUCACUAAAUCAACUGGGAUCCACACAAUGGAAUAUCCUAAUGCAUCAUUAAAAAUCACAUUGUAAAAGAAGAUUUUAUAACAGAAAAAAAUGCACUGUAUAUGAUACAUUUUUAAAAUGUUACUUAUGCCAGUCACAAUAAAAGACAAUUACACUUAUAUGGGAUAGAGUAGUCAAUAUUAUAGAGACAGAAGGUAGAAAUGGGUCUGGGUGGAAAUUAGAAUGAGAUGUUCUUAGCAUUCCAGUUUUACAAGAUGAAAAGAGUAACGGAGACAGAUGGCAGUGGUGGUUGCAUGACAUUAUGAAUGUACAUAAUUAAAAAUGGGUAAGAUGGCACAGUGAGAUACCAUCUCACACCAGUCAAAAUGGCUAUUACUAAAAAGUCAAAAAAAUAACAGAUGCUGGGGAGCUUGUAGAGAAAAGGGAAUGCUUAUACACUGCUAGUGGCAGUGUAAGUUAGUCCAGCCACUGUGGCAAUUCCUCAAAGAACUUAGAACUAUCAUUUGACCCAGCAAUCCCAUUACUGGGUAUAUACCCAAAGGAAUAUAAAUUGUUCUGCCUUAAAGACACAUGCAUGUGAUUGUUCAUUGCAGCACUCUUUAUAAUAACAAAGACAUGGAAUCAACCUAAAUGCUCAUCAACAGUAGACUGGAUAAAGAAAAUGUGGUUCAUAUACACCAUGGAAUACUAUGCAGCCAUAAAAAAGAAUGAGAUUAUUUCCUUUGCAGGAACAUGAAUGGAGCUGGAGGCCAUCAUCCUUAGUGAACUAACACAGGAGCAGAAAACCAAAUACCACAUGUUCUCAUGUGUAAGUGGGAGCUAAAUGAUGAGAACACAUGGACACAAAGAGGGGAACAACAGACACUGAAGCCUCCUUGAGGGAGGAGGGUAAGAGGAAGGAGAAGAUCAGAAAAGAUAACUACCAGGUACUAUGGUAGCUUAGUACCUGGGUGAUGAAAUAAUCUGUACACCCAACCCUCAUGACAGAAGUUUACCUGUGUAACAAACCUGCACAUGUAUCCCUGAAACUAAAAGUUUUUUAAAAAGUUAUUUAAUAUAUAUAUAUUUUUUUGAGACGGAGUUUUGCUCUUGUUGCCCAGGCUGGAGUGCGGUGGCGCAAUUUCGGCUCACCACAACCUCCGCCUCCCAGGUUCAAGCUAUUCCCCUGCCUCAGCCUCCCUAGUAGCUGGGAUUACAGGCUUGUGCCACCACGCCGGCUAAUUUUGUAUUUUUUGUAGAGACGGGGUUUCUCCAUGUUGGUCAGGCUGGUCUCGAACUCCCGACCUCAGGUGAUCCACCCCCCUCGGCCUCCCAAAGUGCUAGGAUUACAGGCAUGAGCCACUGCGCCCGGCAAAAAGUUAUUUAAUAUUAAUGGGACAAUACUCAUUGCAAGAAUCAGACUUCAAUUGCUAGCAUAAGUAAAUGACAGGCAGGAGAUAUUGAAAAUGCAAUCUUAUAGACAUUCAAGGAGAGGACGCAGGACAUUUCUGUGUCAUAAAUGUACUAUGGAAAAUAAAAAUGAGAAAAAUGGAAAUAAAAUACAAGAAAAGGUUAUGAUAAAUUUCAUAUUAUUUUACCACAAUAAAAAAAUUUUAAUAAAUUAUAAAUGGUGUGAUAUGUUUUGCCUGUGUUCCACCCAAAUCUCAUCUUGAAUUAGAGCUCCCACAAUUCCCACGUGUUGUGGCUGGGACCCUGUGGGAGAUAAUUGAAUCAUGGGGGCAGUUUACCCCAUACUGUUCUCUUGGUGGUGAAUAAGUCUCAUGAGAGUUGAUGGUUUGAUAAGGGGUUUCCCCUUUUGCUUGGCUCUCAUUCUCUCUUGACUGCCACCAUGUAAGAUGUGCCUUUUGCCUUCCACCAUGAUUGUGAAGCCUCCCAGCCACAUGGAACUGUGAGUC